rnacentral:misc_RNA from 1 species
GAUGAAGAACGUAGCGAAAUGCGAUAAGUAAUGUGAAUUGCAGAAUUCAGUGAAUCAUCGAAUCUUUGAACGCACCUUGCGCCCUUUGGCCAUUCCGAAGGGCAUGCCUGUUUGAGUAUCAUGAACACCUCAACUCUUCAUGGUUUUCCAUGAUGAGCUUGGACUUUGGGGGUCUUGCUGGCCUGUGGGUCGGCUCCUCUCAAAUGAAUCAGCUUGCCGGUUUUUGGUGGGCAUCACAGGUGUGAUAACUAUCUACGCUUGUGGUUUUCCACCAGGGUAACCUUCAGCAGUGGAGGUUCACUGGAGCUUACAAAUGUCUCUCCUCUGUGAGGACAGCCCUUUGAAUGUUUGAUCUCAAAUCAGGUAGGACUACCCGCUGAACUUAAGCAUAUCAAAAGCGGAGGA